CCUACGGGAGGCAGCAGUGGGGAAUAUUGCACAAUGGGCGAAAGCCUGAUGCAGCGACGCCGCGUGAGGGAUGACGGCCUUCGGGUUGUAAACCUCUUUCAGCAGGGAAGAAGCGAAAGUGACGGUACCUGCAGAAGAAGCGCCGGCUAACUACGCGCCAGCAGCCGCGGUAAUACGUAGGGCGCAAGCGUUGUCCGGAAUUAUUGGGCGUAAAGAGCUCGUAGGCGGCUUGUCACGUCGGGUGUGAAAGCCCGGGGCUUAACCCCGGGUCUGCAUUCGAUACGGGCUAGCUAGAGUGUGGUAGGGGAGAUCGGAAUUCCUGGUGUAGCGGUGAAAUGCGCAGAUAUCAGGAGGAACACCGGUGGCGAAGGCGGAUCUCUGGGCCAUUACUGACGCUGAGGAGCGAAAGCGUGGGGAGCGAACAGGAUUAGAUACCCUGGUAGUCCACGCCGUAAACGGUGGGAACUAGGUGUUGGCGACAUUCCACGUCGUCGGUGCCGCAGCUAACGCAUUAAGUUCCCCGCCUGGGGAGUACGGCCGCAAGGCUAAAACUUAAAGGAAAUUGAACGG
rnacentral:rRNA from 1 species